CUCCUGAAUUUCCUGUUACAGGUAGUGGAUUCGAGAGGCACACCAACACCAGCAGAUGAGUCUCAGUUUAAUACUUGGGAUAUUAUAACAGUAAGUUAUAGCUCCAGAAGUCAGUCACCAGCAGCAGAUGUCACACAGUUAUAAAAUGGGAAACUUGAAGAAUAAGCUCCAGAAGUCAGUCACCAGCAGCAGAUGUCACACAGUUAUAAAAUGGGAAACUUGAAGAAUAAGCUCCAGAAGUCAGUCACCAGCAGCAGAUGUCACACAGUUAUAAAAUGGGAAACUUGAAGAAUAAGCUCCAGAAGUCAGUCACCAGCAGCAGAUGUCACACAGUUAUAAAAUGGGAAACUUGAAGAAUAAGUUAUAGCUCCAGAAAACCGCCACCAGCAGCAGAUGUCACAGUUAUAAAAUGGGAAACUUGAAGAAUAAGCUCCAGAAGUCAGCAGCAGCAGACAUCACACAGCCAUAAUGCGAGAAGCUUGAAGAAUAAUGUGGUAGUGGUUUGAAUACAUAUGACAUAUUUCACCUUCAGUUUAAAAUUGAAGUUUGUUUAUAUUGGCAGGUGGUAACUCGGAGCUCUUUGUUCCAGUUAUGGCUCCGAUAGUCUUCCAGCAGCAGCAAAUGUUUCACAGUCCUAUAGAGGCAAACUUGAAGUAUGAGGUAAUAGUGUUUUGCAUAGAAUGGCAAACUUGACCUUUCACUUAAAAUGGAGGUACAUUUGCACUGAGUUUAAUGUUAUGACACGUGAAUGGAUUACCAGUGAUGUAUAUGUAAAUACUGGAAUUUGUAACUUAGAACUUAAUUUCAGUAUCGGCUUUGAAAUUUGGUCACUGGAUACAACUAUAUUAUCUUUCAUGUUGAUAGCAGCAAUCAUCAGAUUGCAAUCCAGUUUAGUUCCUGUGAGGCAUGAGAUGUCAAAAAUACUUGUGGGUUAUUGGUAGCCUGUGUCGAGGCAUGUGGCACCUCAAAGUUUGUAAGUACAGUAGCAUUUUGUUUUCUGCUUUACUUAAAAAUUGUUAGCUGUAGCACCCAUUCUGACAUUUAAUUAUUUUGAAUUUCAAGUUUCUUAAAAUAAUACUGACAUCAGUUUCAUGUGUGUUAACACUAAUCC